rnacentral:tRNA from 1 species
GGAGGUAUAGCUCAAGUGGUAGAGUGAAUGCUUAGCACGCACAAGGUCCUGGGUUUAAUCCAGUACCCCCU